GAUGAACGCUAGCGGCAGGCUUAAUACAUGCAAGUCGAGGGGCAGCAUGAGUGUAGCAAUACAUUUGAUGGCGACCGGCAAACGGGUGCGGAACACGUACACAACCUUCCUAUAAGUGGGGAAUAGCCCAGAGAAAUUUGGAUUAAUACCCCGUAACAUAAUGAUGUGGCAUCAACUUAUUAUUAUAGCUUCGGCGCUUAUUGAUGGGUGUGCGGCUGAUUAGAUAGUUGGCGGGGUAACGGCCCACCAAGUCUACGAUCAGUAGCUGAUGUGAGAGCAUGAUCAGCCACACGGGCACUGAGACACGGGCCCGACUCCUACGGGAGGCAGCAGUAAGGAAUAUUGGUCAAUGGACGCAAGUCUGAACCAGCCAUGCCGCGUGAAGGAUUAAGGUCCUCUGGAUUGUAAACUUCUUUUAUCUGGGACGAAAAAAGGCUAUUCUUAGUCACUUGACGGUACCAGAUGAAUAAGCACCGGCUAACUCCGUGCCAGCAGCCGCCGUAAUAC
rnacentral:rRNA from 1 species